UGCCAGCAGCCGCGGUAAUACGGGGGGGGCUAGCGUUGUCCGGAAUUACUGGGCGUAAAGGGCGCGUAGGCGGGAUAGCAAGUCAGUGGUGCAAACUUGAGGCUUAACUUCAAGCUUGCCAUUGAUACUGUUAUUCUUGAGUUCGGCAGAGGGAAGUGGAAUUCCUGGUGUAGCGGUGAAAUGCGUAGAUAUCAGGAAGAACACCGGUGGCGAAGGCGGCUUCCUGGUCCGAUACUGACGCUGAGGCGCGAAAGCGUGGGGAGCGAACAGGAUUAGAUACCCUGGUAGUCCACGCUGUAAACGAUGGGUACUAGGUGUUGGUUGUAAUGAUCAGCGCCGGAGCAAACGCAUUAAGUACCCCGCCUGGGGAAUACGGUCGCAAGACUGAAACUCAAAGGAAUUGACGGGGGCCCGCACAAGCGGUGGAGCAUGUGGUUUAAUUCGAUGCAACGCGAAGAACCUUACCUGGGCUUGAACUGCAGGUGCUAUCUCCUGAAAGGGAGUUUCCUUCGGGACGCCUGUAGAGGUGCUGCAUGGCUGUCGUCAGCUCGUGCUGUGAGGUGUUGGGUUAAGUCCCGCAACGAGCGCAACCUCUGUCCCUAGUUGCCAUCAGGUCAAGCUGGGAACUCUAGGGGGACUGCCCCGGAUAACGGGGAGGAAGGUGGGGAUGACGUCAAGUCAUCAUGGCCCUUACGUCCAGGGCUACACACGUGCUACAAUGGCCGGUACAACGGGUAGCGAGACAGCGAUGUGGAGCAAAUCCCUUAAAACCGGUCUCAGUUCAGACUGCAGUCUGCAACCCGACUGCAUGAAGUGGAAUCGCU
rnacentral:rRNA from 1 species